rnacentral:rRNA from 2 species
AGAGUUUGAUCCUGGCUCAGGAUGAACGCUAGCUACAGGCUUAACACAUGCAAGUCGAGCGGUUUGUGCUUUUGCACAUUCAGCGGCAGACGGGUGAGUAACACGUAUCUAACCUUCCCCUUACUUGGGCAUAGCCUCUGGAAACGGAGAUUAAUUUCCGAUGUGGUGUACAUUUCGCAUGUUUUGCGCACCAAAGAUUUAUCGGUAAGGGAUGGGGAUGCGCUCCAUUAGGUUGUAGGUAGGGUAAUGGCCUACCUAGCCUAUGAUGGAUAGGGGUUCUGAGAGGAAGGUCCCCCACAUUGGAACUGCGACACGGUCCAAACUCCUACGGGAGGCAGCAGUGAGGAAUAUUGGUCAAUGGCCGGAAGGCUGAACCAGCCAAGUAGCGUGCAGGAUGACUGCCUUAUGGGUUGUAAACUGCUUUUUUACGGGAAUAAUUAUGAUCACGUGUGAUUAUUUGCAUGUACCGUAAGAAUAAGGAUCGGCUAACUCCGUGCCAGCAGCCGCGGUAAUACGGAGGAUCCUAGUGUUAUCCGGAUUUAUUGGGUUUAAAGGGAGCGUAGGCGGGAGGUCAAGUCAGCUGUGAAAUGUAUCUGCUUAACGGGUACACUGCAGUUGAAACUGGUUUUCUUGAGUGCGUAAGAGGCAGGCGGAAUUCGUUGUGUAGCGGUGAAAUGCUUAGAUAUGACGAGGAACUCCUAUUGCGAAGGCAGCUUGCUGGGUCGUUACUGACGCUGAUGCUCGAAGGUGCGGGGAUCAAACAGGAUUAGAUACCCUGGUAGUCCGCACAGUAAACUAUGGAUACUCUCUGCCGGCGAUAUAUUGUCGGUGGCCAAGCGAAAGCGUUAAGUAUCCCACCUGGGGAGUACGUUCGCAAGAAUGAAACUCAAAGGAAUUGACGGGGGCCCG